rnacentral:tRNA from 1 species
GCCGACGUGGCGGAAUGGUAGACGCGGCAGAUUUAGGAUCUGUUGCCCGCUCAGGGCGUGGAGGUUCGAGUCCUCUCGUCGGCA